rnacentral:piRNA from 1 species
UCCAAGUCAUUGUGAUGUACGAGUGAUGG